rnacentral:rRNA from 1 species
GACGAACGCUGGCGGCGUGCUUAACACAUGCAAGUCGAACGGAAAGGCCCUGCUUUUGUGGGGUGCUCGAUUGGCGAACGGGUGAGUAACACGUGAGUAACCUGCCCUUGACUUUGGGAUAACUUCAGGAAACUGGGGCUAAUACCGGAUAGGAUCUCCUGCUGCAUGGUGGGGGUUGGAAAGUUUCGGCGGUUGGGGAUGGACUCGCGGCUUAUCAGCUUGUUGGUGGGGUAGUGGCUUACCAAGGCUUUGACGGGUAGCCGGCCUGAGAGGGUGACCGGCCACAUUGGGACUGAGAUACGGCCCAGACUCCUACGGGAGGCAGCAGUGGGGAAUAUUGCACAAUGGGCGGAAGCCUGAUGCAGAAACGCCGCGUGCGGGAUGACGGCCUUCGGGUUGUAAACCGCUUUCGCCUGUGACGAAGCGUGAGUGACGGUAAUGGGUAAAGAAGCACCGGCUAACUACGUG